UGAAAGAUCUCAUCAUUUUCCAAACACCAAAUCAUCAAUCACCACCCCGCAAACCCAUCAAACUUUUCUUUUAUUUCCUUUCAUGUCCUUCCUCCAUUGUUGAACCAUCCAAGCUUCAAACAUUUCUUUCGUAAAAGCUAAAAAGAAGAAUAGUGAGUAACUUUAUUUCAUGAGGAAACUUCCAUAGAUGGGUUAAAAGAGAGAAAGACAAGAGUUAGGGUUUUGGGUUUUCAAAGAGUUAAGAAAAAACAGAAGAAGUUUGAGGACAAAAGUGAAAGGAAAGGAAAAGAAGUGGCCAAGGAGUAGAAGAGAAGAAAAACUCAUCAUCCAAAUUUUGGUUGUAAGUACCUCAAGUAGUAAUUUUGUUUAAGUUAUGUUAAUUAAGUAGUUUAAUUACUAAAUUAAUGAUAUCAUAAUAAGUAUUUAGUAUGGGUAAAUAAUGUAAAUGUUAUGAAUUUUGACUUUGGUGUACCAUUAUAUGGCGUAUUACGGUGAUAAUGAAAAGGAUUAAAUUGAAAGAAAUUAAAAUA